rnacentral:rRNA from 1 species
UACGUAGGUGACAAGCGUUGUCCGGAUUUACUGGGCGUAAAGAGCGCGCAGGCGGUCGUUCAAGUCGAGUGUGAAAGCCCCCGGCUCAACUGGGGAGGGUCAUUCGAUACUGAUCGACUCGAAGGCAGGAGAGGGAAGUGGAAUUCCCGGUGUAGUGGUGAAAUGCGUAGAUAUCGGGAGGAACACCAGUGGCGAAGGCGCCUCUCUGGGCCUGUCCUGACGCUCAGGCGCGAAAGCUAGGGGAGCGAACAGG